UCUUGCUUCAAGUGCCAGAAAUCUGGCCACUGGGCCAAGGAAUGCCCGCAGCCCAGGAUUCCUCCCAAGCUAUGUCCUAUCUGUGCAGGGACCCACUAGAAGGCAGACUGCCCAGCUCGCCCGGCAGCCACUCCUAGAGCCCCUAAAGCUCUAGCCCAAGGCUCUCUGACCGACUCCUUCUCAGAUCUGCUCGGCUUAGCGACUGAAGAUUGACGCUGCCCGAUCACCUCGGAAGCCCCCCGGACCAUCAUGGACGCCAAGCUUCAGACUCAGCCCGCCUGCACCCAGGUGAAAUAAACAGCCACGUUGCUCACACAAAGCCUGUUUGGUGGUCUCUUCACAUGGACGCGCAUGAAAAGAAGAAUACUUUAAAAAAAAAAAAAAAAGCAGCAUCAGCACCACCUGGAAGCUUGUUAUUUAUACAGAAUCUCAGACCCACCUGAAACCUACUGCAUUGGAAUUUGCAUUUUAACAACUCUGGUGAUUUGUUUUCUCAUUUCACAAGUUGUAGUCUGUGAAAAAUCAGGAGCUAUCAGGAAAGGAGAUCUACUCCCCUGGCUACUGCGAAUCAAGGUUUCUUCUGCAUCUACGACUGCUACCCAUAAAAUGUGAAAUACCCUUCAGGAAUCUAUACGGCUCUAAAGACUCAUAGUGAGAUGUUAAGUAUCCCUUUCUCCUUCCUAAUAGCAGCCUAUUUCCUUUCAAGGAAUUCUCUUCCCCUGUUCUAUGUCUUGUUGUGAGGGUUAAUUUCAGGUGCCUGCUAACCCAAACAAGCCAGAGAAGCAAUUCUUUUCUCUAGGUUCUCAACCAGGGGUGAUUUUGCCCCCCAGGGGACAUUUUGGCAACAUCUGGAAACAUAUUUGUUUGUGACAAAUGACAGGGAGAGAUUCUGGCAUCUAGUGAAAAGCAGCCGGAGCUGCUGCUAAACAUCAUAUAGUACCCAGGAUGGCCCCUCACAGCAAAUAAUUAUCCAGCCCAAAAUAUUAAUAGGACCAAGGCUGCGAAACCCUGAAUGAGUAAUUACAUAUAUUCUCCCUCUUUCAGGAAGUCUCAAUCUUGAGAGAAGGGGGAAAGAGAAAUAGAACAUCGCUGUCACAGCAGCGUCACUGUGACCCAACUCUUCCUGCCUAGAUGACCUGCUUCCUCCCUCUUGACCCUCCAGAGUGCUGUCAAUUCCCUACCAUGGAGCCCUAGCUUUGCAUAAAUCAUACGAGCCCCAAUUUCCUUCCAGUUCACUGUCAUUUGCCCAAGUCAGCCAGUAUCUUUCUGUUGAUGGUAACCAAGAACCCUUACGCCCAACCAUCCAAUUAGAGGAGGGCUCCAUUCCAGGGCAGGGCAGGCUUACCCAGCUGCUAGGCUAAGCACACACUUCAAGCAUCAGCAAGUAACUGACAAGUUCAGCUUGAAUGAACUUAACCAGAAUUUGCAGUCAAGAAAACUAGAAAGAAACUGUUUUAAUUUCAGUAUAAGUGUUUCAUUUUGCAUCAAGUGAUUUAAACAGUUCAUUAUUUGGGACCCUGAUGUUCUGGGCCAUCAGGUGGGGCAGGUUUGCUCUGGUUUUGAGUUUCAGUGCUAAGAAGGAAGAGGAAAACGAGAGAGAAGAGAUUGAGUUGUUUAUAUUAUCUGGCCUCAGGUGAGAGAGUACUGGAAUGAGAAGCCUAUGUUUAAAGGAAAAAAAUAUUAAAACUGGGAAAGUAUUGAACAUGGAAAGAUGUAACCUAUACAAUGAAGUACAGCACAAUGGAAGAACCUAAAAAUUAAAACCAAGAAUACAUAUAUAUAUUUCUUGAUAUAUAUAUCAAGAAAUAGCAAUCUAUCUGCAAGCCGAAAAGUGUUGCAGAAGGAAUGGAGGCUUUGUCAUCGAAUACACCUGCUGGUUUAACCAAACUAAGAUUGAAAGUAAAAACCUUAGCCUGGGAAACAUAGCGAGACCCCAUCUCUACAAAAACUGAAAAAAAUAGCCAGGUGUGGUGGUGCAUGCCUGUGGUCCCAGCUACUUCGGAGGCUGAGGUAGAAGGAUUGCUUGAGCCCAGGAAGUCGAGGCAGCAGUGGGCCGUGUUUGAGCCACUGCACUCCAGCCUGGGUGACAGAGUAAGACCCUGUCUCAGAAAAAAAAAAAGAAAGAAUGUAAAAGCGUUUGAAGCCAUUUGGCAAAGAUCAUGGAAAACAGGGCAAGCAAUAGCUACAGAGUUCCAGAGCCAUGUUAAAUUAAUAAAUAAGUAAAUAUUUAAACAUUGAAUACCUUAACAAUUAAAAAUCAUAUCUAUCUAUUAUAUUGUUGAAUGACAAAAGCCUAUUACAGGAUGAUUCUACCUAUAUCGACAUUUGCAUAUAUGCAUAAAGCAAGUCUGGAAGGACCUUCACAAGCAUGUUAACAAUGGUCACCUAUGGGUAGGGAGAUCUUCUUUGAAUUUUUUUUUUUUUUUUUUUGGUGCAUUAGCGAUCUUGAUGGUUUCAAAUGUCAUCACCAGGGAAUGAUAAACGCUGGGGCCUACUUAGGGUGGAGGGCAAUAGGAGAGUGAAGAUUGAAAAACUACCUAUCUGAUAUUAUGCUGAUUACCUGGGUGACAAAAUUUUCUGUACACCAAAUCCCCAAGACACACAAUUAGUGCGUGUAACAAACCUGCAUAUGAAUCCCUUUAAAGUAAAAUACAAGUUGAAAGGAAAAAAAUAAAACCUCUUCAAUCAUC